UACGUAGGUGGCAAGCGUUUGUCCGGAUUUACUGGGCGUAAAGGGCGUGCAGGCGGUUUGUCUAGUCUAGGGUGAAAGCUCCCGGCUUAACUGGGAGAGGUCCUUGGAUACUGGCAAACUUGAGGGAGGCAGAGGAAAGUGGAAUUCCCGGUGUAGUGGUGAUAUGCGUAGAUAUCGGGAGGAACACCAGUGGCGAAGGCGGCUUUCUGGGCCUUACCUGACGCUGAGACGCGAAAGCGUGGGGAGCGAACCGG
rnacentral:rRNA from 1 species